AGGGGCCUAGGACGCAGCAGUGGGGAAUUUUGGACAAUGGGCGCAAGCCUGAUCCAGCUAUUCCGCGUGUGGGAUGAAGGCCCUCGGGUUGUAAACCACUUUUGUAGAGAACGAAAAGACACCUUCGAAUAAAGGGUGUUGCUGACGGUACUCUAAGAAUAAGCACCGGCUAACUACGUGCCAGCAGCCGCGGUAAUACGUAGGGUGCGAGCGUUAAUCGGAAUUACUGGGCGUAAAGGGUGCGCAGGCGGUUGAGGAAAACAG
rnacentral:rRNA from 1 species